GAUGAACGCUGGCGGCGUGCCUAAUACAUGCAAGUAGAACGCUGAAGGAGGAGCUUGCUCUUCUGGAUGAGUUGCGAACGGGUGAGUAACGCGUAGGUAACCUGCCUGGUAGCGGGGGAUAACUAUUGGAAACGAUAGCUAAUACCGCAUGACAACAGUUAUUGCAUGAUAACUGUUUAAAAGGGGCAACUGCUCCACUACCAGAUGGACCUGCGUUGUAUUAGCUAGUUGGUGAGGUAACGGCUCACCAAGGCGACGAUACAUAGCCGACCUGAGAGGGUGAUCGGCCACACUGGGACUGAGACACGGCCCAGACUCCUACGGGAGGCAGCAGUAGGGAAUCUUCGGCAAUGGACGGAAGUCUGACCGAGCAACGCCGCGUGAGGGAAGAAGGUUUUCGGAUCGUAAAGCUCGGUUGUAAGAGAAGAACGAGUGUGAGAGUGGAAAGUUCACACUGUGACGGUAUCUUACCAGAAAGGGACGGCUAACUACGUG
rnacentral:rRNA from 1 species